AUCCAACUGACGAGUCCCAAAAAGGACGAAACGCGCGUCCUGGAU
rnacentral:hammerhead_ribozyme from 1 species